rnacentral:sRNA from 1 species
ACUGCUCGGGGACCGGCGGAGGCCAGGCCGCGGUAGGGGGGCGGGGCGGGCGCCGGAUCAAGGCGACUAGAGCUGGGUGCUGGGGCCGGACGGGGCGGCGGCGGGGAGGUGAGGGCCGCGGGCGGCGGGCGGGAGCGGGGUCUGUAGCGAGGCCGGCCGCGGGGAGCGCCCAUCGCCCCCUGGUUGGGCGAGGAGGGCCGGGAAGAGGCCACAGCUUGGGUCAAUGAGCUGAAGGAGAAAGGCAACAAAGCCCUGAGCGUGGGUAACAUCGAUGAUGCCUUACAGUGCUACUCCGAAGCCAUUAAGCUGGAUCCCCACAACCACGUGCUGUACAGCAACCGUUCUGCUGCCUAUGCCAAGAAAGGAGACUACCAGAAGGCUUACGAGGAUGGCUGCAAGACCGUCGACCUAAAGCCUGACUGGGGCAAGGGCUAUUCACGAAAAGCAGCAGCUCUAGAGUUCUUAAACCGCUUUGAAGAAGCGAAGCGAACCUAUGAGGAGGGCUUAAAACACGAGGCAAAUAACCCUCAGCUGAAAGAGGGUUUACAGAAUAUGGAGGCCAGGUUGGCAGAGAGAAAAUUCAUGAACCCUUUCAACAUGCCUAAUCUGUAUCAGAAGUUGGAGAGUGAUCCCAGGACAAGGACACUACUCAGUGAUCCUACCUACCGGGAGCUAAUAGAGCAGCUACGAAACAAGCCUUCUGACCUGGGCACGAAACUACAAGAUCCCCGGAUCAUGACCACUCUCAGCGUCCUCCUUGGGGUCGAUCUGGGCAGUAUGGAUGAGGAGGAAGAGGUUGCAACACCUCCACCACCACCCCCUCCCAAAAAGGAGACCAAGCCAGAGCCAAUGGAAGAAGAUCUUCCAGAGAAUAAGAAGC